AUAUAUAUAUCAACCUUCUCUUGUUGAGUGGUUUGGAUGUGGGGGUUUGCUGAGCUCUUAAAGGGUUCAGCUCUCCUGAAAUGCAUUAGCAGGACGACCCUUGUUCAUUGGUGUGAUAACUAUCUACGCUAUUGAAUAUGAGGGGCAGUUCAGCUUUCUAACGGUCCUUGGACAAAAUUCAUCAUUA
rnacentral:misc_RNA from 1 species